AUACGGAGGGUGCAAGCGUUAUUCGGAAUCACUGGGCGUAAAGGACACGUAGGCGGGAAGCCAAGUCUGAUGUGAAAUCCUACAGCUUAACUGUAGAACUGCAUUGGAAACUGGUUACCUAGAGUAUGGGAGGGGGAGAUGGAAUUAGUGGUGUAGGGGUAAAAUCCGUAGAUAUCACUAGGAAUACCUAAAGCGAAGGCGAUCUCCUGGAACAUUACUGACGCUAAGGUGUGAAAGCGUGGGGAGCAAACAGGAUUAGAAACCCUUGUAGUCC
rnacentral:rRNA from 1 species